GCCGGCAGUCGCCGCAGCCCCUCCCGCCCGCACCGCUGGAACCGAUCUGGGUGCUGUGGCCUGUUGCGGCCUCCGGCGCUUCGGGAUGAGGGCAUCGGGACGGGUUGGGAGUUCCAGCCCCCUCUGUGCUAAAGGUGGGACUCUGUUUCUGAUGCUCCAUGGAUUCAUGGGAUCAAGAGGACCUCCAGCAUGCACCGAAGGUUUUUCGAGGAGGUCCUUGAUCCCCAGAUCUGGUGAGUUCAGGGCAAGACCCCUGGGAUUUUAGUAAGGCAUUACUGAGGGUAUAAAAGGUGUACCUAACCAUAAGCUGUGACCAAGAAUCCCUGCAGAAAUUGACCUCUAUAAUAUGAUAUAGUUGGGUUAUAAAAAUAGUGAUAUAAAUGUUAAAAAAAAGAGUGUGAUAUUUGGGUUAUAAAAAGAAAUCGUUAGUGAUGAUAUAACUGGCUGUUUUCUAUUAAAAUAUAAUUGUAAAACCAUAUGAGUGAGUAUCAAAGGGUGCGGGUUCAAGUCCCACCACCUAGUUGGAAAACUGUGUAUGUGGUUAACACCAUGCACACUGUGGGUCCCAGUCCCACUUGCCUCCAUAUUAGUUGGACAUAGUGCCAUGAGCGCAGGAGCCACAUUGUAGAGUGGUUUGCCAGCUGUCUGUGCUUAUUAAACCCUAUAAGUGUUAAUGCCUGAAAUGUAAAGUGUUUUGUGAGUCUUAGUAUUAUUGAGUCUGUCUGUUCUGGCCCAUAGUAUAUAUAUAAAAAGAAAAAUUGCUGUAAGAGUGUUAAGUGUAAUUGGUUUUUUAUUGUGUGAAUUUUAAAGUGUUGGGUGUGUAUAAAAUGUUUGUUUUAAUGAACGUAAAUUGCUGAUGUGGCUCCUAAGCUAGGACUGUGUGUUUAGAGCACUCUCUAGUGUUGGCACAUCGAUAAGUUACUGUUUUAGUUAAUUAUUGUGUCUGUUUAAUCUUCAGUUAUUUUAAAUAAAUACAAGGUCAGGAUUUGUGUUAACUGUGGAUUCAAUACUAAAGUGGUUGUCAGCAAAUUAGAGAUCGGGUAUCAUAAGCGCCCAGAGUAUCCAUUAGAGUAUCAAGGGGUUAUAAUAUGGCUUUGCAGUUGAUGUUAUUUUGCCAAAAGAAAAGAGAAGUGAAAUGGAAAUACUUAGAUUUGUUCUUUGAAUUGAGAGUCAAUUGGGACUUGAGAAAGAGGAUGUUGAACUGUUGGUAGCUCCUGGAAUGAGGAAGAGAGUAACUGACAGAGGAGUGGAAGGAUUUUCAGCUUGGAAACCAAUGAAAGUCUGAUAGUAGGGACUUAUCCCAAGAAAGCUAUGAUGGUAUUUAAAAUACCCCCGACUAGAAAGAUAGGCCAGUGAUAUUUGGAUUCAUUGUUCCUAGAAAUUUGAGUAAAUUGUUAGCGAGCAAUGUGGAGCGUGUCCAAUAGUCAGAUGCAAAAGCUGUAGCUGUGUUAGUGGAACAAAGCCCAAAAAGGGCAGGGGGAACACUGCAGGGGAAAGACAAAAAUGAAACCUGUUCAAGGAGUAGGAGACAGUAGAUGAUCAUAUUUCUUGCACUUACCCUGGGUGGGAUCCUAAUAAUUAGGUUCGAUGGGAGUUAUUAAUGCAUUAUCAAAGACUGAUUAUAUCUGUAAUGAAGCAUGCUAUUCUAAAGGGGAUUAACCUAUUUAAAUCAUACCGGAUAAAGCAAGAGAGGGAGGUAUCACCCUCUGAUUUCUACGAUUAAUGAAGACAGCUGGAAAGUAUAGAGACUUGGAUCCUGCUUUACAAGCAGUGAAAUUAAUGACUAUAGGUGAAGCACAAAGAAAACUGGGGGAGUCAUCCCCAGCUGACCCCUUGGUUACAUUAAUGCUGGGGAAUGAGAAAAUUGAUUUCUAGUGGAUACUGGAGUGGUGUAUUUGGUUUUAUGUACAUGUAAAGGAAAAUCUAGUGAGGAAACUAUUAAAUGCCUUUGGUGGCACUGGGGAGAGUGAAAAUCUGCCAUUUUUCCAACCUUUACAAUUCAAGAUAGGUAAACAGUGGUUAACACAUCAAUUUCUGUAUAUGCCUGAAUGCAUAUUGCAUUUGUUGGGAACGGAUAUUUUAAACAGUUUAAUUAAACAAGCAAUAUUUGAAAAUGGACAAAUACAAGUAUGCAUUCCAGAAAGUAAAGCCCUGGAGGCCCAGAUUUUUAUGUUAUUACAGCAACCAAAUGGAACAGAAGGAAUCCCAGAGAAGGUGAAGAAUGCUGUCACUCUGACCACCAGAAUUCCAGGGAAAUCAAAAGCAGCAGAACCAGGAAGAAUACAGGUGAAACCUUAUGCCAGACCAGUAAGGCAGAAACAAUAUCCUUUACUGGAUAGAAGAAAAAUUAGAAGCUAGAAAAGGGUUUGAAGAACUAAUUUCUAAAUUUGUGCAACAUGGAUUACUAAGGGAAUCUGAGUCCUACUGGUAAAGAAGGCACAUACUAAUGAAUACAGGCUAGUCCAAAAUCUCAGAGCUUUUAAUAAAAUCAUGCGAGACCUACA